CCACUAACCCUUGUCUUGACUAGGAUGAAAUGCAUGGUAUGCACGCAUAAAGAAAGCGUGAAUCUAUAUUUUUAUUUUUUAAAAGAAAAAAUUCAAAUAUAAUUAAAAAUAUAGAGAAACAAUAAAAAUAAAAGAGAAAACAUCCCCUCCUCCCAUCUUCAAAACCUUUACCUAACCCAUCACCCCCAUCUGCUGCCUUCUACAUCGUAACCCUUUAUCCACCAAGACCACCACCAUCACUCCCUUUCUCCCUUUCUCCUGUUCUUCCCACUCUUUAUCCUUUGUUAUUCCAAGAACUUCAAAAAUUCUCUCAAAAAUCCUUCUAUCCAAUCACCACUAGCCUACCACCGCCAACCACUAUGAACUCCAACAAUGUUUCACCUUAGAUUUUGACAACCUCUACUUCCAAUCCCUGAUAGAUCUUCUUGUCAACACUCGCCCUACCGAUAAGCCAAGAUGACGAUGAUGAUAACAAUUUGUAUGACAUCUUUGGGAUCACUUUGAGUGGAAGAAAUGGUGAUUGGAGGAAAAUUGAUGAGAUCUAUGCUGCCUUAUAAUUUCGGCAAUUAUUUCUUAACCCGAAAAAUUGAAUCCUAAUAGUUUUAGGUGCAACAGUUAUGGUGAGAUAAAGAGAGAAGAAGUUGAAGCUGAUGAAUUUUUGAGGUUCUAUGAAAAUUGAGAGGGUAGGUGAAAAAUGGCGUGACGGAGAAAGAGAAUCUGGUAUUAGUAAAGAAGAAGAUGAUCUGAUAUGUAAUCAAUAUCAGAUCAAGUGGGACUCACACAUAAUAGGAGGGGUUUAAAAUAUUUAUUUUGAUUAAAUAUAAAUAUUUGAAUGAAAUUUUGUGAAGUAUAAGAUUCGAGAUGACUGAAAC
rnacentral:lncRNA from 1 species